rnacentral:lncRNA from 1 species
AUUCAAUCAUGCCAAUGUCACCCGGACAAAAGAACUUUCUACACAGGCUUAAGAAAGAGACGCGGCACCUGCAGCAGGAAAGGAGCCCAGCCGGAGAGUUCACCGCACCAGUCAGCGAGCACAGAGUGCUGGACGGAUGACCAGUGGGGCCUUGGGGCAGUGUGGGGCGCAGGAAAAGAGUACCUGGUCCCGCAGUGACUGCAGUGAGGAGGACCCUGCAUUUUUACCCACCCUCCUCACCUGGCACCACUGCUGUACAGGCUGUCAGCUCUGCUCCGGUUCUCAAGUUCACUCGGCAAAAAGCUGAUCUGCCUCCGUGUUUAGAAGCUCCUCACUGGCCAGGAGGGUGGCUCACCUCUACACGUCUGGGCUGGAGAGAACAAAGGAUGUGCUGUUGGGAAAAGAGAUGGGCCUCGGCCCAACUGGGAGGCCUGGGCCCAGCUGCCAUGGCGCACCAAGCGAGGGAUAGAUUUAAAUUCAUAGAAAAGUCGUGGAGAUAAUACAGAGAAUUCCCACAGGCCUCCCGCCACCCGGCUUCCCUGUGAGUGUCUUACAGGAGGACGGCACCUUUGUCACAAUGGAUGUCGGUGCACUAUCAUCAAACAAUAAAGCCUGUCCUUCAUCCGGGUCUCCUA